GAGCAGGGGUAGCUACAGCCGGAGCGGCAGGAAGAGGCGGGGCCUGCGGGCAGGGGUCGGCCCGGCCGUUCCUCGGAGCGGCCCCCGCGAGCAUACCAAGGAAACGGAGCCUAACUGGCUGCAGUGUCUUGAGCCCUUUUGGAAACGAUGAGCUGUUUAACCAAUGUGAGUAACAGUAUAAUGGAACAGACCUAAGGGUGACGAAAGUCUUUUUUAACUAGCACCUUGUUUCCAAAAGUAACUAUGAGCAAGUACCAAGGAAACAAGUGAGAACUCUACAAGCGUAUAUAGCAUUUUCCCUGCUACUAUCCCAGCUUCCAACCAGAUGACAUCCUCAGAUGAAUUCUUUGGGGCUUUUUGCACCCCCUCUACCCCUCCAGUUUUUCACCCUCCCUCAAUAAAUUGCUCUACUAUGAAUUUCCCCAGCCUCUCUGAACCCAAUUCACCUCCAGCCUUUGGCAAGGAGUACCGCAGGUCCACUGCUACUUUUUGGAAGCAUCCUCUUGGCACGUGUUGAAGUUGAGACCGACGAGCUCCAGUUGUGACCACCCUUGCUCUUGUCUGAGAAGAGAGAGCGGGCCGUCGGCUCCAGCACACGCCGUCUGCCCUGCUCCCGACUGUCUUCCUCCAGCCGAGCCUCUAGGCAGGCUGGUCGGAGCGGAGCCUUUCCAGGUCUCCCAGACUGUUGCUUUAUUCACCUGCUAAAGCAUCUUCUUGGCCUCUGGGAGGAAGGUAAAUGCUGAGGCAUCGCGGCCCAUCUUGACUGGAUGCCGCAGGGAACAGGGCUGCCUGUGGUGAACAGCCUCACACAAGUCCUUGUAUUGUUUCCUCUUCUACCUGCCAGGGUCAGGUUUGAUAGAUUUUUCUCAUGUGUAAUGUGAUCAUUUGAAGUCAUUGCUUUUACGUAAUAAUAGAUGUCCAUCUACAUCUUGCUUCAUUUUAGAGAGUAGCAGAUAUAAAGCCCUGCCAGUGACAAAUGUUUCCUUUUUUUUUCCUAGUACACACUUUCCACAAUAUUUUUCAUUUAACAGUCUUAAAUUUUUGAUUAAAUAAGACACCUGUUUUAUGGACUUGCUAAUUUGAGGCUACCUAGGAUGAAACUGAAGAUACCAUCCAAUAACCUUUGUAAAUGUUUGCUUUAUAUGUGUCUUAGGAAGCUUCACGAGCCAAUUAUUUCAGUUUCCAUAGUGAGCCGGUUUUGAUGUCUUUGCCGUUCAACACACAUCCUGUUAAGAGUUUUCAUUAACUCUGUUGUCUUCUUUGUUCUGUACAGCGACAAGCACUUUGACAGAGUCCAAAUCAAUACUAAGUAACAAUGGAUGCUUUUUAGCCUUAAUUCCAGGUUUAGCUAUCACAAAUGAAACUACCAACAGAUCAGAAGAAUGCAGCAGCUUUUCCUUUCCCUGAUGGUUUCAGGAGGCUUAGUGUCUACGCUGUCCAGGCUGGCUUUUAGCAUUUAGUCCAGAAACCUCUGUCCUGCUAUAAAACAUUAUUUUCUGAGGGUAGGAAAGACCACAAUUAUUAAAUGCCUGAAAUGAACAGUUAAUAUUGUUCAUGCUUGAGAUUUGUUUUAACGCAGUAGAAUAAAUUCAGUGCAACAGUGGAAAGGAUUCUACAAUCACUGAAGUACGAAAAUAAUAUCAUUUCAAAUGAAAAGCAGUAUUAAUCCUGAUGGAAUAGAACCAUAAAUUAUGCAUUUUAAAAAUACCAGCGUUCUCAGAAACAAUUGGUCUAUGGCUGUAAGCACACCUCUACUUAGGCCACCUCCCUUCCUGACACCCUUAUUCCUGGCCUGGGACAUGCGGAAUGAGACGAUACUCGCCUACCAGAGAGGCAGAAGAGCAGCAAAGGAUUUUGUGCCUCCAUCAGGAGACUCAUCUUUGCUUCCACCUGGAGUAGAAGAUGCGUUUAGAGGUUGCCCGCAGCUGGAGCCAGGGUAUACCCGAUCAAUGCCAGGCCUGGGCCUGCUGUACUCUUGUAACUUGUGUAUUUUCUGCUGAAUAGCUAGUAGGAGAGCGGUACAUCUCUCAAGUCAAAAUCCCACUGAGGUGUGUCUACCUGAGCCUCGGGUAAAGUGUUGUUUCCAGGGGACAUCCAUGUAUUUAAUAUUGUCAGGUCACCUUCUCAUGUUUUGCUUAGGAGCCGUUAAGGUUAAAACUUCCUUUUUUUUAAUAAAAAAUGAAACUCUAAGGUAAAGAGGUGACUCCUGAACACCUUAGAAUGGGUUCAUAUAUUCUCUGUCCCUUUAUCUGCAUGCGCAAGAAGGCAACAUUUCCCCUCCAGGCUCGAUGAAAAGGGAAAACCUGGGAGAAGCACAGCGGUGUGUGCUCUCCACCAGCAGCUCUGCAACACCUCUCUGGUGGGCAGGGAGGACCUUCGGGGGUUCUGGCUCACCUGGAUCCUCAUUUCCAGUUUCCAGUCCCAGGACUACCUACAGGACUUAUCCCCAGAGGUAAGAUCAGUGGGUAAAUCCCAGAGCAUGUUUUGUAUCAUAAGUAAAUAAACAAAAAUUAAGCUAGAAAUUCAUUUUUUCCUUUCUGUUUAUUAUUAGGAGAUACAUGCUUUGUAAGGCUUUAGUUUUUCCCAUACAGUUAAAAGUGCUGCAUUUUUCUUCUAAAAAAAAUUAAACCACACCAUCUUAGAAUUGUUGACAGAGGAGAAAGGCUGCAUUUGCUGUGUUAUCAAGAGCACAGUUUCCAAUAUCUGUGGCCCUUCUUGUCAGAUUCUAGUUCAGGAACCUGGCAAGGAAACUGACCCUGAGAAAAUAAGGGGGAAAAGUUUGUAAAGACAAACUACAAACCAAAAGCAAAGACGAGCCAAAUGCACUGCAGUGACCUGAAUUUCUCAUAGCAGUCUGUAAUAACAGACACAUUUUGACUCACCUUUUAUAGUCCUUUUAUUUUAAAAAACCUAGGUGCUUAACAGUUUGUCUAAGAAUCCCAUUUAAUUUUUAAAAGGAGAAUAAAAAUUGUCCCAAGCUUAAUUACAAAUGCUUGCCUCAGAAAUACCCUAAAUGUUGAGUGGCCAUUCCCCAAAAUAUUCACAACAAAGAGUAUGUUUUAUAAAAGAGAAAUCAUCUCGAGAUACCUAUUCUAAAAGAGUGAUUCUGGGUAAAUUAAAUAAAACUGAAAAAGAAAUGUCAUUGGUGGACAUGAAGAAAAUAAACUGUCCUGCUCUUAUCAAAAGCCUAGUAGGCUGGACCCUGAGUUUUGAAACACCGGUUUACUAUUUUUCAGACAACCUCCUUGCCACCUGCUCUAACAAACGCUGCCGGUUUUUCAUCAGAAGCGUUUGGGUCCUGUGCCACAGUUUACAGAAACAAGCCUGAGGGUUGGUAUGAAUUUGGUCAGGGGUCAGGUUGAUGCCUUUGUCAGUGGUUUCCAACUGUUGAGGUGUGUAUCUCGAACGCGCUGUGGGAAUGUGGAGCCCACAGGAAUGGAAUAAGCUCCCCUUGAUCUGUGUUGACUCCACAACUGGUUGACUCCAGUUGCUGGGACAACUCAGAUGUACUUCUGCCUUGAACUAGCAGUUGUGUGUUGCAGUGCAAAGUCCAGAAUUUUUCGCUCACCUUUCAUGCCGGUGCUGUUUAAGCUCCCUAGGUGCAGCAGGUACAAGAAAGAGAUGGCAGCAGCCAGAAAAUGGGUGUGAAAAGAGGUAGCGAGUGCAACAGACUCGGGGCAAGCAGAGGAAGAGAUGAGGAGCUGUAUCCAGUGAAAUACCCAUUUCCUUAAGUAGGACUUGACUUUUUAAGAAAAAAAAGAGACACAGAAGGUUCAGAAUGGCAGGUCUACAUUAGGAGAGUGUUCGGGAAGUUUAUGAAAUUCUUGAGCCUUUACUGGGAAGCAGAAAAAGGACCAGCUCAGCUAGAUUUGUUUUCCAGAUUUUAGAAUCCAUUAAUCCCUCAUCAUUUGCUGACGUGAACAGGUAUUUCUGGCCCAAAUAUCUGUAAGUGGUGUACACUGUCCAGUGCACAGACAAUGCAUAUUGCAUGAAAGCAUGAACUAUGACUUGUCUGCUCGUCUUCAUACUUGCAAACCUCAGCUCUGCUCAUCUUGCAUGUUAACCUUUUUGCAGGUUUGUUUCAAAACCUUCAGCCAUUAGCAGAAUGAAUAGACUUGUAAAAUUAUAUUAUCAUGAUCCAGGUAAGUAUGAAUUUAGCCUCAUAAACAGACAAGCAAAAAAACAAAACAAAACAAAACAACCCAUAUGUAACUGUAGAAGAUCAGGAUUAAACUAUUCAAUGGUGCAGAAACAGCAAUUCAUUAGAAGGGAUAACUCAUCUGAUUUGUCUAUACCUAUGAAGUAUAAUGAGUAACUAUCAGAAGACACUAUCUUUUCUAAUAGAGACAGGGCUUUAGUGAUUAUGUAAUUUUAGCAAUAUUCAAUGAAGGCAGAGAAAGGAAGCAGCCAGAAUUCCUUGUACCACCAAUCCUCAUUUUGGAGGUUUGGAAUUUUAUGGUCCUCAUAUUAAGAAUUCUGAACUUUAUGCUGAUGAGCUGGAAUAACCAUAAUGACUGUAAUAACUAUAGUUACUAGAAUAUUUAUAUGCUAUAUGAAGUACAUAAUACUAUAUAUAUAUACAUAAUAUGUAUGUUACACAGCAGUUGCAUGAGUUGUUGAUCUGGUUAUAGGUUCCCUUGAUUCCCACUGCUGUCAGUUCAGAUCUUUAGUAAGGUAACAGUUUCAACAAACUUCUGAAAACCCCAGAUUUGUGUUUCUAGACAGGAAAGAUUUCUUGCAAUCAGAGCAAAGGGGCUUGGGAACAGAAGGAAGAGAGUAAGAUACCUCCCUCAUCCUCCCAUCAAGUAUAGAAAAUACAAUGAAGCCCACGAAACUCUUCUUUCUUUGACGCCUGGCAAUCAUUCCCUAUACUUCUACUUGUGAGUGCUCCACCAGAGUAAGAAAUGGGCCCCUAAUA